rnacentral:misc_RNA from 1 species
GCCAAAGAGUGGUUCUUCUUGGAGUUUGGAAUCGGGCAAGAAGGAAGCUUCAGCGCAGUUAUGCCUCCACAAAGACCAUUGUUUCCCAAAAACGAAAAUGCACUUGAAUUUAGAAAGAUUCCAUGUUUUGGAACCAUCCCUUGGAGUUGAUUAAAAGACAAAUUCAAAUAGUUCAGCCCAUCAAGUUGAGCUAAAGAAUCUGGAAUUUGC